rnacentral:rRNA from 1 species
GUCCACGCCGUAAACGAUGAUUACUAGGUGUGGGGGACUGACCCCUUCCGUGCCGGAGUUAACACAAUAAGUAAUCCACCUGGGGAGUACGACCGCAAGGUUGAAACUCAAAGGAAUUGACGGGGCCCGCACAAGCAGUGGAGUAUGUGGUUUAAUUCGAAGCAACGCGAAGAACCUUACCAGGUCUUGACAUCGAGCGACGAACUUAGAGAUAAGUUCUUCCUUCGGGACGCGAAGACAGGUGGUGCAUGGUUGUCGU